rnacentral:lncRNA from 1 species
UUGAUCCCAAGUUCUUCCACCAUUAAAUUCUUCACAGGUUCUCUAAAGAUUAAUCUUUUCUCAAUCCUCAACAGAGUUAAACCAGAUUGAACAUGCGCCAAUCUAAUUCAACUGAAACUCACCAGUAAAACAUGCGUCUACUAGUUUAAUCAAUACCCACUUUGUUCCAUGCGUAUACUCCAUGGGAAUGCUUACCUCCUCUCUCUUGAAUCAUGCGCCCAAGAAAUUAAUUAGAACAAUGCGAACUAACUAAGAAACCAAAGUUUAAGAUAAGGAAGACUCUCAAUC